CAAUAGCGUAUAUUAACGUUGUUGCAGUUAAAAAGCUCGUAGUUGGAUCUCUGGAGGGAGCGUCGGCCCGUAUUUACGAGUGCGUGACGUCUCUGUCCAUCCUUGCGGGAAGGCACGGCAUUGAUUUGUUGUGUCGGAUCGCAUCAUUUACUGUGAAAAAAUUAGAGUGUUCAAAGCAGGCUUUCGCUUGAAUACAUUAGCAUGGAAUAAUAAGAUAGGACUUUGGUGCUAUUUUGUUGGUUGAGCCUAAAGUAAUGAUUAAUAGGGAUAGUUGGGGGCACCUGUAUUGCGUUGUCAGAGGUGAAAUUCUUGGAUUUACGCAAGACAAACAGCUGCGAANGNGUCUGCNAAGGAUGUUUNCAUUA
rnacentral:rRNA from 1 species